CCUACGGGGGGCAGCAGUGGGGAAUAUUGCACAAUGGGCGAAAGCCUGAUGCAGCAACGCCGCGUGAGCGAUGAAGGUCUUCGGAUCGUAAAGCUCUGUCCUCAAGGAAGAAUUUUGACGGUACUUGAGGAGGAAGCCCCGGCUAACUACGUGCCAGCAGCCGCGGUAAUACGUAGGGGGCUAGCGUUAUCCGGAAUUACUGGGCGUAAAGGGUGCGUAGGCGGCCUUGCAAGUCAGAGGUGAAAGGCUACGGCUCAACCGUAGUAAGCCUUUGAAACUGUAAGGCUUGAGUGCAGGAGAGGAGAGUGGAAUUCCCAGUGUAGCGGUGAAAUGCGUAGAUAUUGGGAGGAACACCAGUUGCGAAGGCGGCUCUCUGGACUGUAACUGACGCUGAGGCACGAAAGCGUGGGGAGCAAACAGGAUUAGAUACCCUUGUAGUC
rnacentral:rRNA from 1 species